rnacentral:lncRNA from 1 species
CGGGCAGAUCAGAAAUGUUCAGGCGAACGGUGGUUAUAUUUGUCCGUGGACCCAAGACAUCGUUGACGGGCAAAUAUGAACACUGCAACAAGGACUGGUGUGGAUAGCGUGCUGCGCUGGUCUCGCCCACUGAAAAGAAUUCUGUUACAUUACGAGCCAACAAUGAAAACCUCAAUCCAUCCUGUCUCCACAUAUUAUCUAGUUUGUGCGCUGUGGAGCUUGAAAGCACUUCUCAGAAUUUCAGCACACUGGCAUUUAUUUAUUUCCCGACAGAAGAACAAUGCAAGUCUCACAUCUUGAUGCGGGUGGCGAUUUACCCUCUCA